AAGAUGGUUGAACUGUCGAACCGGAACCAGGAAACACUGGGCUCUGCACAGCACGCAGGACUAACGGGAACACAGCCACGGGGCACCCGCGCGGCGCGCCCUCCCGCGCCAGCUCGAAGGCUUACUUUGGUCCCACCUCCUUUCCUCUUGCUCCUUCGAAUCCCUUCCCCCUCCGCCGUUUCCGGAUAGGAACACUUUGUAAAUUCUUUCCAAGUUGAAGCGUGGGACCAAUUUCGUCAACACAAUCCGGAAUGGUCAACAUGGCGGCGGCUGUAAGAUGCCUCGGUAGAGUCUUGAUACAUCAGCAAAGGCAUAGUCUUUCCAAGAUGGCUUCUCAGACAUCUCUUUAUCCUUGUUCUGUGUACGUUCUGGUGCCCAACAGACAUUUUGCUGCUGCUACAAGGCCUGCAAAGAAAACAAAAAAAGGUGCCAAAGAAAAAGCAUUGGAUGAGAAAAAAGAUGAGAUAGAAAAAAUAAAGUCAUAUCCCUUUAUGGAAGGUGAACCUGAAAAUGAUGUCUACCUAAAACGCUUAUAUCCAAGGCAGAUAUACGAGGUGGAGAAAGCUAUUCACUUACUUAAGAAAUUUCAAGUUCUGGACUUUACUAAUCCAAAGCAAGGUGUCUAUCUUGAUUUGACACUGGAUAUGACACUGGGGAAGAAGAAAAAAGUGGAGCCGUUUGCCAGUGUUCUUAGUUUGCCAUACCCAUUUGUUUCAGAGACCAGUAAAGUUGCUGUAUUUACAGGGAAUGCAUCAGAGAUAAAAAUAGCAGAAGAAAAUGGAGCUGCAUUUGCAGGAGGAACUAAUCUGAUUCAGAAGAUUUUGGAUGAUGAAAUUCAACCAGACUUUUAUGUAGCUGUUCCAGAAAUAAUGCCGGAGCUUAAUCCAUUAAGGAAGAAACUGAAAAACAGAUUUCCUAAGCUUACUCGAAAUUCCAUUGGCCGAGACAUCCCCAAAAUGCUUGAAUUAUUUAAAACUGGACAUGAAAUUAAGGUAGAUGAAGAAAGGGAGAACUUUCUGGAGACCAAAAUAGGAACAAAAAAGUUUGCCAACCCUAAAAUACAAACAUAUAAAACCUAAGCCUGGGAAGUUCUGGUUCCAAGUGAGAUGGUGUAAUAAUCACAUGACACCCUAUCUCUCUCAGUGAGUGCACCUAUUAUAAUACCUGGACAGAAGGCAUGGAGCAGCUAUUUGAAGACUCUGAAAAGUCAAUAGUAGCAGGUGAAUUAGGGAAGACCAGAAUUUAAAGUACCACCAAACUGGCGACAUCCUUUGGUCUAUCUUCCACACCAGAGGUCUGCAGACUGUGGCCUGUGGGCCACUUCCAGCUCUCCAGCUGUUUUUCUGGAUAUGUCAAGUGACCAGAUAGCUGCCAAUCUGCAAGCAGUUAUCAGUGAAGUUUGUAGGCAAAGACCGCUGAAUUUGGGACCCUUUGUGGUACGUGCUUUCCUUCGAAGUUCAACAAGUGAAGGUUUGUUACUAAAGAUCGAGUCAUUAUUGCCUAAAGAAGUA